rnacentral:rRNA from 1 species
UACAGAGGUGGCAAGCGUUGUUCGGAAUUACUGGGCGUAAAGGGCGCGUAGGCGGUUCGUUAAGUCCUGUGUGAAAUCCCCCGGCUCAACUGGGGAACUGCACAGGAAACUAGCGGGCUUGAGUUCGGGAGAGGGAUGCGGAAUUCCAGGUGUAGCGGUGAAAUGCGUAGAUAUCAGGAGGAACACCGGUGGCGAAGGCGGGUCUCUGGGCAGUAACUGACGCUGAGACGCGAAAGCUAGGGGAGCGAACAGG